rnacentral:lncRNA from 13 species
AUGUUAAGCCCCAAAUUGUCCUGCCUUUCAGCUGUGGCCUCCAGACCGAGGCCUGCUCUGGGGCUGGGCUCUGCCCAAGAUCAGCGGCAGCCUCCUGGGGUGAAGAGCCAUGGCUUUCUACAGGUAUCAAAGCCCCUUGUGUUUUCCAGGCCAAGGAACUUUGGCUACAGGGCCUCACUGCUGGACUCCUCCCUGCUCUCAUUGACCCAGAUUGCCCUCCACCAAAGAGAGAGGCCAGUGGCUGCCCAUCAGAGCCACGACCCAUGUUGCAGAGGCUACUGCCUGGGGUGCUCAAGAGUAUUAAUCACUGAGUAUUUACCUUCUGAAAGCUCCUUCUCUCUACCUCUGCUCACCUUUCACUGCCAUCUCAGAAGGGAUAAAAGGAGUGAUCUUUGUACUUGGCUGGUCCAGUUACCCUAUCCCUAUCUGAUCCAACUGUUCUUCCCCAAUGUCUGCCUGAUCAUGAGCCCAGUUACCCUGUGUGUAUGGAGGGGAAGCAGGAGGGAGGAAUCCUCACUUUCCACUCUGGAUACAGAAGACAUGGAUGGAGGGAGGACACAUUGCAGUUGUGACUGGAGAUCAGGCUUCUGCUCUUCAGCCAGGUUUUCUCGCUUAGAAGGGGAGGGAGGAUGAGAGAUGGCAGAGGCGCUUUGCACAAAGAUGGCAGUCCUUCUUUACCAGGAGAAACAGGACUGUUGAGGAUCCCAGGACGCUCCCACAGCCUCACCAGCCUGGCUCUGUGCAUAGGACAGUGUAGAAAAGCUGAACUAUAGCACCAGAAGCACUGAAUCGGAGCUGGGGCUGGUAUCAAGAGCCUGGUGCCUCUUUUGCACGCCAAGAACACGGCUGUGUAACUGGACCCAGGUUCAGCCACUUGCUGCUGCAAAGCCAGAGGCAAGGGUUGCUAGGAGGAAAGGCAAAGCCGGCAAACCCAGAAGAUGGCAAGCUAGCAUUCUAAAGUAUUCGCUCACAUUUUAUAAUGUACCAUAGAGUUUUAAAGGGAAACCUAGUAUGGGGGACAUGCGGGAGUGGUACAGGGUACUGGGAUCGUGUGUCUUGUUCUGAUGGCUACCUUGGCUAAUUGCUCAUCGGGAGUCUGGUUGGUAUUAUCUUGAUUUUGACCCAAUUGUUCAUGACUCCCCCUAAGUGGGAGGAGUGGGGCACUGUGCCUGGAUUGUUUCAAGAUUAGCCGCUGGGAUUUCUCAAGUAAGGGCAUAAUUAGCUAAGCUAGCACUGAUGAGGGGGUGUCUAGGGAGGGAAGGAAUGAAGAGGUAAGAGGGGAGGGAAGGAAGAAAAAGGAAAUGGGACCGAGCACAGUGGCUCACGCCUGUAAUCCCAGCACUUUGAGUGGUCGAGGUAGGCAGAUCACCUGAGGCUGGGAGUUCAAGACCAGCCUGACUGACGUGGAGAAACCCACCCACACACACAAAUGGGUCAUUUUUAAAACAGAGGUUCCCGGGUAUAUCUGCACAGGGCUUAGUUACCUGUGACCCCGGCUAAAGGUUUGCUCUCACACAGACCUGCAGGGGCAGUGCUGGGACAGACCUGAGUUCUUGCUUUGGGGAGUCCCUUUUCCUGGACCCCGACAGGCCAUUCUCCUGUGGUCACAUCUUCCACUGUAAAGGUUGCUCCUUAGUUAGUGCCAGCUACCAUUUCAUCCCAGUCCCAGUGGUGCUGUCUCAGCACCUUCAGUGGAUGGACUUGGGGACUUCCUGAGCCUCUUCAGCUCUGUGUUUCCGGGCCUUGGAUGAGUUACCCUCACCCAUUAGGAUUCUUCCUCUUAAAAGGUGAAGACAUUGCCAAGCUUCGGAACAGCCUUACUGUAGCCAUCUGUCUGCUUAGAACAGGUUGAGCACCCCUAAUCUCAACAUCCAAAGUCUGAAAUGCUCCAAAAUCCAGAACUUUCAGAACAUUAACAUGGCACCUCAAGUGAAAAAUUCUACACCUGACCUCAUGUGGCAGCUCACAGCCAAAAUGCAGGUGCACAGCACAGAGUUUAUUCAGAAUGCCUCCUCAUCCUAGGGGACCCACCUCCUGGUCCCCCACUGCUUUGGAUGGUUCUCCUCACCUAAAAAAAAAAAAAAAAAAAAAAAUUCAGCAUACAGUAGCCUUUUAAUCAAAACAGCAUCGUGGCUGAAAGCCUGUUGGUUGUUGCUGUUGCCUGACAGCUGGUACGGGUAUUCCAGUGAUGCUACUGUGCUGCCUAUUUAUGCUGAACACAUUUUUUCAUUGUAUUAAUACUGUAUCAUUCUUUUCACUGUGUACCUACUUAUGUGUGAAUAAAUAUAGGAAAAUGAUUGCU